rnacentral:misc_RNA from 1 species
AACUUUCAACAAUGGAUCACUUGGUUCUCGCAUCGAUGAAGAACGCAGCGAAAUGCGAUAAGUAGUGUGAAUUGCAGAAUUCCGUGAAUCAUCGAAUCUUUGAACGCACAUUGCGCCCUCUGGUAUUCCGGGGGGCAUGCCUGUUCGAGCGUCAUCAAAAACACUCAAGCUAAGGUUUGCCUUCUGCUUGGUCUUGGAGGUGGAGAUCAAAGUCUUCAUUCCGAAAUGCAUAGGCGAAUUGAAAGUGCCCGAUACCUAGUAAUCUUACCGGUUGAUAGCAUGAUCACAUUCCGCCAUAACCCCCCUAAACUUUCUAGUUUGACCUCGGAUCAGGUAGGGAUACCCGCUGAACUUAAGCAUAUCAAUAAGCGGAGGCU